GAAAAGAACUGAGGGGCAGGGCUGGUGCAAGGAUAUUUUGCGCUCUAGGCAAAACUUCCACCUUGUGCCCCCCCCACCACUUUAUAAACUUUCA